rnacentral:rRNA from 1 species
GACGAACGCUGGCGGCGUGCUUAACACAUGCAAGUCGAACGGAGAGGCCCUGCUUUUGUGGGGUGCUCGAGUGGCGAACGGGUGAGUAACACGUGAGUAACCUGCCCUUGACUUUGGGAUAACUUCAGGAAACUGGGGCUAAUACCGGAUAGGAGCUCCUGCUGCAUGGUGGGGGUUGGAAAGUUUCGGCGGUUGGGGAUGGACUCGCGGCUUAUCAGCUUGUUGGUGGGGUAGUGGCUUACCAAGGCUUUGACGGGUAGCCGGCCUGAGAGGGUGACCGGCCACAUUGGGACUGAGAUACGGCCCAGACUCCUACGGGAGGCAGCAGUGGGGAAUAUUGCACAAUGGGCGGAAGCCUGAUGCAGCAACGCCGCGUGCGGGAUGACGGCCUUCGGGUUGUAAACCGCUUUCGCCUGUGACGAAGCGUGAGUGACGGUAAUGGGUAAAGAAGCACCGGCUAACUAC